CUGAUGUCUUCUCAGGAUGUAUGUUAUAGGAAAUGGUCUGGGAAAAAUUCUUACAGCCUUGAGAUAUUUUUUUAUCUAUUCUCAGCAGCAAGUUGAGAAGUAUAUAAGGCCUUCCCUAAACUAGUGAGCUGGGUUCUCUCCUACCCCCUUCUGAUGUCUAUGGCAGAAGCGUUUUCUGUAACUUUCACUUUAAGUAAAAUCUACACAAUGCUCUGAGUGACUGAGAUUGUCUUUGGUCCCGGAGUUAAAUCUUCUUCUUCAGUGACCAUGAAUCCAGCAGCACUGUUCACCAUUCACCAUAAGCUAUCAUCUUGAGAGCUCAUCUGGGAUAUACAGGACAAGGCUGACCCUCCAUCACCUCCUUUGUUAUCAGAUAGAUGCAUGUGGCAACUCUCAGAAGGGACAUCUUGGGUUUUCUGUUCAUCCCUUUAUGACUUACCACUUCUACUGCAGUCAAGGAUAUGCUCAGGAAUGUGCACAGACACAUACAGGACUGGUGCUUCACCUGGCGGUCUUACCUUUGGAAGCAUUCCAGAAAACUACUCUGCUCCACCCUGGAUGGCACUGGAGAAAAGGGAAAUCAAGCCAAGCUUUUAAUGAUAUAAAGAAGCUCUUUUCAAGUUACUGAUAGUUCAAAACAAUUUAGUGAUUUACACCUGUGGGUAAAAUUAUCACAUUUUUCUCUCUGCCUCAUCCUUCCAGAAGAAAUUGGAGACACUUGGGCUCUGAACAGCCUUAUCAGCUUCAUGGCAACUUUGAGAAACAACAGCCUGAAACUGCAGUGAACACCAACAGCCUGGUAGCUGCCAGAGAGAACAGAACAGGACUGGAAUUCCAUCCAAGACCCAUUCCCAGAAAAUUGUUAUUAUUUGACCUGUCUGGUGAUUCCCUGGAAGCCCCGGUGGACAAUCACUCACAAGGUUGUCUUUAUUUGGUCUGACUCAGAGCUCACCCGAUGGGAAACAAAUUUUCCCCAGGGACAAUCGUCAAAAACUGUUAGAGGCAAUAGGACCACAACUGCCUCCAGAAGUAGAUAAACAGGUGGAGAAGACAGUAGGAUAACCAAAAUGUUAAAAGGAAAAUUAGAGAAUAGAUAUGUCCAUGUAGAGCUUUGAUAAGCUCCCAUAUAUUCCUGGGGAUGUAGAAGGCUGUGCAUAAGAUUGUGCCUGUGAUCAGGAAAGACAUGAAAAGACUGUAAGCUGUCUUAUUCAGGCUGACCUUGAAGCUCCUUGCAAGGAGAAAGUGGAAGCUAAGGCAGGAUUGUCAAUGAAGGGUUGUGACUGAAGGGUUGAAGGUAAGUCCUAACAGGUACACAGAGCCCCAUGGCACACUGGGAAACUUAUUGAUUCCAGGUAUUUAAGGAACUCAUCUCUGUCUGUCCAGUUGUUAACAGACCACUGGCUAACCAUCAGAGCCUUUCGUGGCCACAUAUGACAAAGAAUACAGACUUUACAUAACUAUUUCAGAAAAUCGUCACACAAAUAGAACUAUGACAAUAACAGUGACAAAAACCGGGGUGGGACUGAGGAUCAGACAUAUGAUUUUCAUGGUUGCCGUAAUAUGUUAUAUAAAAUAUGCAGUUUUCAAGGGGAAAAAAAGAACCUCAGGAGACAUACAAAAUAUAUGAAAACAAAUUCCAAACACAGGAAAAAGACACACUCAAUAGAAACCAUUACUGAGGAAGCCCAGACAUUGGCCUUACUAGCCAAAGUCUUUAGUCUUCUAUUUUAGCAUGUAGAAAUCUCUAAAAUCAUCUAUUUUAACAUGUGCAAAAAGAGAAACUGAUGCAAAGAGAGUGAUCUGAAUCUCUGGACAGGGUGACUGGUGAAGGACUUUCUCUGCCAAAGCCAGCGUGUAAACACUGGAAGAGAUGCCGACAUCUCCAAAUGAGCAGACACCAACACGAGGACACAAAGAUCACAAAUAAUCAGGGAAACAUGACAGGAAAUGAAUAAAGUUCCAAUAUCUGACCUUAAGGAAAUGGAGAACGAUGAACUGUCUGACAAAGUAUUCAGAAUAAUCCUCUUAAAGAAAUUCAGUGAACUGAAACAAAACACAGAUUUUUUUUUAAACUAAAUGAAAUGAGGAAAAUAAUACAUAAACAAAAUGAGAGGUGCAACAGAGAAAUCAAAACCAUUGAAAUAACACCAAACAGAAGUCCAAGAGUUAAAGAGUACAAUGAUGGAACUGAAGAAUGCAAUAGAGAACUUCAACAGCAGACUCGACCAAGCAGAAGAAAAAGCCAGUGAUCUCAAAGACAGGUUAUCUGAAAUUAUCAAGCCA